AUGAACGCUGGCGGCGUGCCUAAUACAUGCAAGUCGAGCGAACAGACGAGGAGCUUGCUCCUCUGACGUUCGCGGCGGACGGGUGAGUAACACGUGGAUAACCUACCUAUAAGACUGGGAUAACUUCGGGAAACCGGAGCUAAUACCGGAUAAUAUAUUGAACCGCAUGGUUCCAUAGUGAAAGACGGUUUUGCUGUCACUUAUAGAUGGAUCCGCGCCGCAUUAGCUAGUUGGUAAGAUAACGGCUUACCAAGGCAACGAUGCGUAGCCGACCUGAGAGGGUGAUCGGCCACACUGGAACUGAGACACGGUCCAGACUCCUACGGGAGGCAGCAGUAGGGAAUCUUCCGCAAUGGGCGAAAGCUUGACGGAGCAACGCCGCGUGAGUGAUGAAGGUCUUCGGAUCGUAAAACUCUGUUAUUAGGGAAGAACAAAUGUGUAAGUAACUAUGCACGUCUUGACGGUACCUAAUCAGAAAGCCACGGCUAACUACGUG
rnacentral:rRNA from 1 species